rnacentral:lncRNA from 1 species
CUGGCAAUGUGUUUUACACUCGGCUGUUAUUCCUCAGAGCUUCGUAGGUAUUGAAGGAAUGUCUACUGAAUGAAUAACUAAAUCAAAGUAGGUCUGUGAAAAAGACAAAUAGAUAUAAGUUCCAGGGUGGAAUAAAUUUUAUUUAAUUCUAAUUUAACUCAAUGACUAUGUUCAGGUGACUGCUUCUGUGCCAGGCUCUGUGCUGAGCAUGGUGAAUACAGAAAUGAAGAAGACCAAGCACCAUCCCCAAGAAAUACAAGGACUUGAUAACUGAAUUCACUGUGGUGACAAGAAUGGGGCAGGGUGCAGUAUGGUCAACAGCUUAGAGGUAUAAACACAUUGCCAUGCCCCAGAGACCAUUAGCUCCGCCCCCCCCCCACAAAAAAUGUGACAACUGACAAACGUUGGAGUUGAGAAUGUCCUAGAUCACAAUAAGUAGAUCUUUCCCUUCUCUAAAGUCAGUAUAUUUCUGUUGGGACAGUGCCCUGCUCUGAUUCAGAAAGGUGCCAGUCUUCCUGACUGC